rnacentral:tRNA from 1 species
UCAUGAUGUAGCCUAAAUAUGGCACUUUGCUUACACCAAAGAAAUACUUGUUAAAAUCGAGUCAUUAUGAG